rnacentral:lncRNA from 1 species
GGGGCACUUUCUGUUUGUCAAGAGUUGUAUCGGGAUUUUCAAAUUCCUCAGUGGAAGCUAAUUUAAAAACUUGUCUUGAGAAACGAACAGUGCCAGAAACACAUCUGGUGACAUCAUUAUUGGUGUUGCUAUAGUUUAUGGCCUUUUCCAUGACUGCCACUCUCAUCAGCCUGCAAUUGGCCUCCACAGUUUGUGUUAAAGGUUAUUUCGGUGGUGUUGUGUGGCAACUGACUAAUGAGAAUCCAGCAGCCCUCAACAACCAGAGAUUCAUCUUUGAGCAUGUCAUCAGGCCAGUUUGCAACCUGCUGUUUUCGGGAAGAUUUGAAGUGGGCUGAGCCCAGGGGUUUGCUUUAAAUACAGCCAGAGACUGUAUUUUGGGUGGAGACUGCAGAUUUCUCUCUUGCUUCCUGGCACACACACUUUAUGUAAGGUACUGGUGCAACCAUGCUGAAAAAGAGGUUGAUCUUUUCCACACUGUUGGCUCUGAUUCUGGUCAAUCUGAUAAAUGUGCAAGAGGCAUUUGUUACCCUUCUAUCUACAGGAUCAAGUAUAGAAGCACAGAGCACGGGGCCAGCCACAGAGCCCCGCACAGGGCCAGCCACAGAGCCCCACGUGGAGCCCAGCACAGGGUCAACCACAGAGCCAAGCUCCAAGUCAAGUGUGGAACCAAGCACUGAGCCCAGCCAUGAAGAAAAUGAGGAGCCCAGUGGAGGGCCCUGCAUUGAAGAAAGUGAGGAGACCAGUGGAGAACCCAGCCCAGAUCCAAUUACAGAGUCAACCAGAAACCCAAGUGGAGAACCAAGUACGGAGCCAAACACAGAACUACCCUAA